AACGAACGCUGGCGGCAGGCUUAACACAUGCAAGUUGAACGGGAACAUACGAUAGCUUGCUAUAGUAUGUGAGAGUGGCGCACGGGUGAGUAAUACAUGGGAACAUACCUUGAAGUGGGGGAUAACUUCUGGAAACGGAUGCUAAUACCGCAUAUACCCUGAGGGGGAAAGAUUUAUCGCUUUAAGAUUGGCCCAUGGCAGAUUAGGUAGUUGGUGGGAUAAAAGCUUACCAAGCCAACGAUCUGUAGCUGGUCUGAGAGGACGAUCAGCCACACUGGGACUGAGACACGGCCCAG
rnacentral:rRNA from 1 species